rnacentral:tRNA from 1 species
GUAAAAUUAGUUAAUUUAUAACAUUAAUUUGUCAUGUUAAAAUAGCUUCAGCAUUUUAUA